CCCCCUCAAGAUGAGAUUUCCCAACUUCGGUUAUAAGAUCCCUCAAAGAUGAUGAGGUUAAUAGGUUCGAGGUGGAAGUAUGGUGACAUGUGGAGCUGACGAAUACUAAUCGAUCGAAGACUUAAUCAA
rnacentral:rRNA from 1 species